rnacentral:lncRNA from 1 species
CUAUCUAUUUUCCUUUGACGUCUAUAUUUUAUUUGGCCGUGUAGAAACAAUGUAUUGUGACGGUAAUCUUGUCCUCUUGCUGACUAUCAGUCCUGGCACGUCAACAACGUGCUUAUUAUCAUUUGUCACCUUCAUUGUCCCCUUCGGCACAAUUGUUACAUCAUCCUUACCCGUGACAUCAUUUUUCAAGUCUGGGGUCCUCUCCGCCACCAUCUCCGGCACUGAAACCUUCGCCUCCCCACACUAGGACAUGCCCCUCCUUCGUCACCAUUGGGAGCAUCUCUUUCAUCUUGGGGACCUCGACCACCUCCGUCACCAUCGAGGCCAACCGCUCCAUGUCUAUGGACAUGCAUCCCAUGGUCACUAGGACCUCUACCUCUUUCAUCAUCGACAAC